AGAGAGAGACAUGCGCUCAUAUCAAUAAGCGGAGGAAAAGAAACUAACUAAGGAUUCCCUCAGUAACGGCGAGUGAAGCGGGAAGAGCUCAAAUUUGAAAUCUUCAAGGUUCUACCUUGACGAAUUGUAGUUUAAAGAAGUGUUUUCUGUUGAAGUUUUGGUAAAAGUUCUUUGGAAUAGGACAUCAUAGAGGGUGAGAAUCCCGUAUUUGACCAUUAUUUUCAGCUUUGUGAUACACUUUCAAAGAGUCGGAUUGUUUGGGAAUGCAGUCCAAAAUGGGUGGUAAAUUUCAUCUAAAGCUAAAUAUUGGCGAGAGACCGAUAGCGAACAAGUACCGUGAGGGAAAGAUGAAAAGAACUUUGAAAAGAGAGUUAAACAGUACGUGAAAUUGUCAAAAGGGAAGCGUUUGACACCAGUGUUGUUUUCUCGAAAAUCAAUUAAAAAUGAGUUAGAUUUUGUAUGUGAUUGAGACCUUAACAGCUUGCACUGUACAUUUUUCGUGUCUUUUUUAAUGCACUUUUCGUUUAACAAGUCAACAGUCAGUUUCUUUUGUUGUAAAAGGGUCAUUGGAAGGUGGCUUUCUUUUCGGAGAAAGUGUUUAUAGCCUUUGGCCUCUGCAAUCGGAGAGACUUGAGGUCUGCAGCGUAGACUCUUCGGGGUUAGAUACAUUUGUGCUAAGUUAUAGCCUUUCAUAGACAACUUGUUGACUAUGAUCAGUCAUGUAGCUUACUCGCUUAUGCUAUUUUACCUACGCUUAGGAUGUUGAUGUGAUACUGCGAGCA
rnacentral:rRNA from 1 species